UCGGCAAUGGACGAAAGUCUGACCGAGCAACGCCGCGUGUGCGAUGAAGGCCUUCGGGUUGUAAAGCACUGUCGAGGGGAAACAAGCCGUAAGGUUGAGUGACCCCUGGAGGAAGCACGGGCUAAGUUCGUGCCAGCAGCCGCGGUAAGACGAACCGUGCAAACGUUAUUCGGAAUCACUGGGCUUAAAGGGUGCGUAGGCGGGUGGACAAGUCGAGGGUGAAAGCCUCUAGCUUAACUAGAGAAGUGCCCUCGAUACUGUUUGUCUUGAGAGAGAUAGGGGCACACGGAACUUCCGGUGGAGCGGUGAAAUGCGUAGAUAUCGGAAGGAACGCCGGUGGCGAAAGCGGUGUGCUGGAUCUUUUCUGACGCUGAGGCACGAAAGCUAGGGUAGCGAACGGGAUUAGAUACCCCGGUAGUCCUAGCCCUAAACGAUGAGUACUAGAUUGUGGACUGACAUGGGUUCACAGUCGAAGCAAAAGUAUUAAGUACUCCGCCUGGGGAGUAUGGUCGCAAGGCUGAAACUCAAAGGA
rnacentral:rRNA from 1 species